ACGGGAGGCAGCAGUGGGGAAUAUUGGGCAAUGGGGGGAAACCCUGACCCAUCAACGCCGCGUGACGUACGAAGUCCUUCGGGUUGUAAACUUCUUUUACCAGGGACGAUAAUGACGGUACCUGGAGAAAAAGCAACGGCUAACUACGUGCCAGCAGCCGCGGUAAUACGUAGGUUGCAAGCGUUGUCCGGAUUUACUGGGUGUAAAGGGCGUGUAGGCGGAGCUGCAAGUCAGAUGUGAAAUCCCGGGGCUCAACCCCGGAACUGCAUUUGAAACUGUAGCCCUUGAGUAUCGGAGAGGCAAGCGGAAUUCCGAGUGUAGCGGUGAAAUGCGUAGAUAUUAGGAGGAACACCAGUGGCGAAGGCGGCUUGCUGGACGACAACUGACGCUGAGGCGCGAAAGCGUGGGGAGCAAGCAGGAUUAGAUACCCUGGUA
rnacentral:rRNA from 1 species